UUACACCAUGCAUGAAAUAAAGCACCAGAUAAUUAUUAGAAAAACACAGAUAGAGUUGUUUUUAAACACAAGUUCUAUUUAAUAAAUCGGAUAGAAAUAUAAAAAGUAGGCGAGUUCACCGUGACGUCACGAUGUAAUGUUUCAUAUAAAUUCCAUAUUAGCAAAUCGUUUUGACAGUUCUAAAAAAGUAACUGAUUUGACUAGUAGGAAAAUACCCUAUUAGGACCACUACUCGGGUAUUUUAAAUAUAUUUAUGAUUAUCAAGCUUUAGGGGUGUUCUUGGGUUAAUAUAGUAUAAAAUAGCAUAGAAUACAACUCUAUUGUGCUGCUGGAUUCGUAGCAUUUUACAAGUAAAAUUGUACAUAUGUGCGGUGACCUCAUGCUCUUUGUAAACUCUUCGUAAUGCGGUGUCUGUGUAGUCUGUGUUUUGAGGGUAUCGUCGCCCACACUGUUAACUGUCCAGCGGUAGACCUUACGCCUUUUGUAAUAAGGUCCAUCGAUGGAUAGCUGAGAGUUUUGCUGUUGUGUUGCUGAGUAAACGCGCGUCCAUGAUGAACAAAUGCAUACGUAUGCGAGGACAUAAAUUAUUCGCCCAGUGCGGUGCUGGACAAGUUGACGCACGGUAAAUAUAGUGUAAAAACCACGGCCACAGAAUAAAUAAUAGUAGUAGGUACAGUAAGUUCACUGUCUAACAAAGCGUGUCUAUUACGACAGACCGCUAGGUGGCGCAAGUGCGAGCACGCGUCCGGUCCGUAGCGGUGCGCGGCAACUACUACUGCUAGACACCAACAUUGGUGUGGCCGCAUGUGCAAUGAGAUUAAUUUUAGUUGUUAAAAUGACGUUAUAUUAACCACAGCUACUACACUAAAAUUUGGUAAAUUUUUAUUUUUGUGAAGGAUAAAUCCUCAUCUUUAAUGCCGUAGUUCGUAGAUGUUCUUGAUGAUCGUAGGUAUAUAUCAUAUUUCAUAAAAGCAUCAUUGUCUGAUAAAAGCAAAAACAGAUAGUCUUACGAGUAUUAUAGCUAUAAUGCUUAUUGAAUAUUGAUGCAGUUUUUUUUCAAUAUUCUGGUUACAGUUUAUGUUGCUAUUGUUGCUUAGUUUAUAAAUAAUUAUUUUACAAUACAUAUGGUACUACUUUACCGCACUAGUGCGAUAAUUAGCACAUUAAGUAACUAUCUCGAAAAUGUAAAGGGCCAUAUGUACUGUAAAACUUUGUACAAUACACGUGCGAAAAGGUAAUUCGCAACGAGUGGCGAUAAAUUGAAACACGACCGAAGGGAUUGUUUUAAAGCGACACGAGAUUUCCUACUUUUCGCACUUGUAUUGUAAUGUAUUAUUAUAAUAGAAGACAAGCUAAGGCAGCUGUCUGAUAAGAGGCGAUAAAGCGAGUAGGGACCAUAUAAGUAUCGCAAAGUCGUAGUCCCUACUUUGCACCGACUUUAAUUAAGUGCCCGCCAAUCGCUGCUUGUCGGACACCAACCUUAAAUAAUAGAUUGCUUAUAUUACGUAAUAUAAUUGUACUUUUAAUAAGGCUGAUAAUACGUAAAUGAUUGAGGGAGUAAUAAUUAUUUUGUAUUAUUUUACCAUGGUAUUUUAUGAUGAUGUUAUAAAAUAACACAUGUAGCGCCGAAAUUUCAUGAAUUCAAUUCAUUGCUAGUCUUCCUUUGUUGGUUUUUUCGUCGAUACGCUAAUAAAUAUUUUAAUUAUGAA